CACGAAUAUUUACUCGAUGCGGGAAUCGAACCCACGACCCUCGGCGCAACAGUUAGGGGCACUAACUACUACACCACCGAGUCAGUCGAUUUCUUCGAAUUACUAUUUGAU